GAUUUGUCAAGAUUUCAAUUCCCCUAAACAAACAGUAAUAGUUCAUCUGGAAAUGCUUUUCUCUGCUCCACUCAGUGGCCUUUAGAGUCCAAAGCAGCAGAACAAGUGUCCUGGAUGGGAGCCUGGUGAACUGGGCACUAGUCUCAACUGUGUCACAGGCUGUCUGUCUGUCACCUUGAGCAAAGCGACUGCCAUAAGGUUUCUUCCACUUGGACUGGAUGGCUUCCAACACUGUUCUAGUUUUGGCCCGUCUAAUGGUCUCCCCAAGAGGGGCCAAGAUGACUGUACCAAAGGGACAUCCUGUUCUGCUGCCCCAGCUUCCAGGCUGUGACUUAGGCAUGGCUGCUUGGAAACUCUCCCUUGCCUAGGCUCUAAGUGGUCCCCUGCUAGGCGUCCUUGGCCUUCAAACUGCAGAGGGUGCUCUUGUUACCUCCUGUUUCUUAGAGCUGGAGUGAGACCUCACAGGAUAACUAACCGGGAGCUGAGAGACUGUGGCUUUUGUGAAUUAAACCUCAAGUCCAAGAAAAACU
rnacentral:lncRNA from 1 species